rnacentral:lncRNA from 1 species
GCCACAAAAGAUGAGAUUUUGGUUAUAAAAUCAAAAUUUUCACUUUAUACAAAAGAAAUUUAACUUCACAAUAGUAGUAGACUUAAACAUAGAUUGAAUGCUUUCAUCUUACAUCACCCAUUGUCGAAAUACAAACACAAUUACAUAGGGAACUCACACCACAAUUAUCCGUUCAAUAAAGUUUGUAAGAUAAAGUUACAAAUCACACCAAACUAAUAAUUAUGUUUACAAACAAGGAAAUUAAAAAUUACUAGUUGUGAUCAUAUAAUUGAUCAAAGCACCAAAGACUGCCUGCCUCCCUAAAUUUGAAAUAUUUCAUUCUGUAUGGUUAGUGGGUAUGGAAAAUUA